GUGGGUGGUAGGGGGGGUGUGUGGCUUUAGGGUCUCUGGCUUAGGAAGCUGAGUCUCCGUAGUGCCAUUCAUACAGAUGGAAUGAGGGAAGAAGCAGUUUCAUGGGAAAGUAGUAAAUUUGAUUGAGUAACAAGAGCUUGGGGGAUCCAGAAGAGAGCUAGGUUUGCAGUUCAGGAGUCCAGGAGAGAGUCAGAUUGAAAACAUAAGCCCACGGAUAGUCAGUCACUGAAGCCAUGGGAAUGAAGAUCACCUAUGGGAAACACAGAUGGAAGCGAAUGUUACGACAAUGAAGUGUGGUCUAUACAAUUAAUUGCUGCAAAGAGCUCAGGCACCACAAUCAAUCAUUCAUCAAAAAUAACAGGCAGCAAAGGACUGAGGAAUAGAGUGAUCUGUGAUAUCUUCCCACUAAUCCCAAGUCAGGAGAGAGAGAGAAUGAAGAUCCAUUGCUGUAGAGGAACAAACUGAACGUGUUGAAGGUCCCGCAAGGCCAGUGUGGCUGGAAUGCAGACACAAAGCCAGGGGGAACAAGAGAUGGGGCUGACAAGAGAGGCAGGAGUCAGAUCUCAUGGGAACUGUCACCUGCAUGUUGCAGACCUCUUUGAAUACACCAUGAGCACUGUGGAUUCUUGCCUCUGGAGAAUAAAAAUCACGUACAGAAAAGUUCAGACAACUUUAAGGAGUUUGAAGAAUCCCUGCUAGUCGUGGACCCAUCUGGGGUUGGUGGAUUCCUGACCAUGACUCUUUGGAUUCAGAAGUCAUAUAAGAUGCAGUUGAACAAACAUUGGAAGUCAAAUGAGCAUUCUGAGGAAAAACAGCAUCUUCCAUACAUCAUCCUCUGGAAUAUCCCAGAUCUGGAUGAGGUCACAGCAAUGUCCAUUCAUAGGGAGCUCUACCUGGAGCUCAGAGAUGAUUGAGAGAGGGUAAUCAUCAUGGAUGUGUCCAAGUGAAGGUAGUUUGGAAAGAAACAAAGUUACCCUUUUUUCCUCACUAAACAUCUUAGGGUCCCCAUUAGCAGGAAGGAAGGAAGAGGACGGGUGAGCUCCCUGGUAUUGAUGUAUUUACAGAGAACCUAGGCAUCAGCCAUACAUACAGAGGACACUCAUUUGGCCAGAAUUUGGGCUUUGACUUUAAUUAAAUUCCUUUGCUCCCAAUAAGACCUCUCUUAAUCUGAAAACAAUUUGUCAUAAGUGAUGUACCUGCCAAGACCUCAUGGCAAAGAGGCAGGGGGGACCUAGUAAAUGUUGCUGACAAAGUCCAGCAUGACUCUAAAGGGACAGUGGCUUCCUUUGGAUGGUCAUGUGCUGGUGCUGGACGUAGCAAUCAGAAGGACAGUCGUGAACACCCAGGAGUGAACCAAGAUGCAAAGUUCAAGUCCGAGGGAAGAAGGGUGCAGUGCGGAAGAAGGGAAGGCAGAUGCUGCAGCCCUGCCUACAAGCAAGGAGGGAGCCAUUAAGAGCCCCAAGCUGGCCAGGCGCGGUGGCUCGCGCCUGUAUUCCUAAUCCCGGCACUUUGGGAAGCCAAGGUGGACGGAUCACCUGAGGUCAGGAGUUUGAGACCAGCUUGACCAACAUGGAGAAACUCUGUCUCUACUAAAAAUACGAAAUUAGGCAGGAGGCUGAGGCAGAAGAAUUGCUUGAAUCCGGGAGGUAGAGGUUGCAGUGAGCCGAGAUCGUGCCAUUGCACUCUAGCCUGGGCAACAAGAGCGAAACUCCAUCUCAAAAAAACAAAAAAGCCCCAAGCCUACUUUAUCAGACAGAGGAAUCAAGUUGUAUUUCCUUCUCACCAAGAGACGCUGGAAAGCUGUAAUCUUACACCAGUGGAGAAAGUGAGAGGAAAAUAAACCCUUUCUAAGGAUGAAUCCUGAAAGCCUUUCCCAGACAAUGCUCGUUCUAUAAGAAUGACCUGUGAUGGCUAAGCCAUCACAGUCUUCAUUCCAAUUGACAUUCCAGGUAAACCUGCGCACAACUUUUUCUGUGUAUUUUCCAAAAAAGGAUCAUUUUAUAAAGGCUCCAAAACCAGCCUGAGAGGCAAAGAGGACUCUGUGUCAAUUCCAAGACAUCUACAUGGAAGUAAGAGCUAGUGAGACAUUCCAGGGACAACUGAACCUUGAAACACACCAGGCACCUGUGGAACUCUCACC
rnacentral:lncRNA from 1 species